GGAAGGGUGGCAGAGCGGUCUAAUGCACCGGUCUUGAAAACCGGCAUCCGGCAACGGAUCGUGGGUUCGAAUCCCACCCCUUCCGCCA
rnacentral:tRNA from 1 species